AAUGUUUUCUUCUUCAGCCUUUUGGUCUAGUUCCAGCCUUUGAAGAUGGAGACCUCAAGCUCUUUGAAUCAAGAGCGAUUACUCAGUACAUAGCUCACAAAUAC